rnacentral:tRNA from 1 species
GUGGAUGUAGCUCAUUUGGUAGAGCGCCUGUCUACCAUGCAUGAGGCCUUGGGUUUGAACCCCUGCACUGCACA